rnacentral:rRNA from 1 species
GACGAACGCUGGCGGCGUGCUUAACACAUGCAAGUCGAACGGUAAGGCCCCAGCUUCCUGGGGUUCACGAGUGCCGAACGGGUGAGUAACACGUGUGUGACCUGCCCCGCACUUCGGGAUAAGCCUGGGAAACUGGGUCUAAUACCGGAUACGACCGCACCUUGAGGUUGUGGUGGAAAGUUUUUCGGUGUGGGAUGGGCCCGCGGCCUAUCAGCUUGUUGGGGGGGUAAUGGCCUACCAAGGCGGCGACGGGUAGCCGGCCUGAGAGGGUGGACGGCCACAUUGGGACUGAGAGACGGACCAGACUCGUACGGGAGGCAGCAGUGGGGAAUAUUGCACAAUGGGAGGAAGCCUGAGGCAGAGACGCAGCGUGGGGGAAGACGGCCUGCGGGGUGUAAACAGCAUUCACCAUCGACGAAGGUUUUCUGACGGUAGAUGGAGAAGAAGCACCGGCUAACUACGUG